GGAUCAAUAGCUCAAUUGGUUAGAGCCCUCGGCCCAUAACCGAGUGGUUGCAGGUCCGAGCCCUGCUUGAUCCACCA
rnacentral:tRNA from 1 species